rnacentral:lncRNA from 1 species
CCCAACUAACAAUAAUUCCUUCACUUGCAGAACUUAGUUCUCUGUUGCAUCAUCAUCAUCUUCAUUAGUGUUAGCCCUAAACUUCACCUUCAACCAUGACCACAGUGCCACCACACAGUGUCCAAGUGCACACAACAACACACCGCUACGAAGCCGGCGUCGUCCCGCCGGCUCGUUUUGAGGCGCCGCGUUACGAAGCCGGCAUCAAGGCGCCCUCUUCCAUUUACCAUUCCGAGAGAGGUCCGACGACCUCUCAGGUUCUCGCAGUUGUCGCCGGCCUUCCGGUCGGCGGCAUCCUCCUGCUCCUGGCAGGACUGACCCUGGCUGGAACUCUCACCGGGCUGGUGGUGGCAACACCGCUCUUCAUCAUCUUCAGCCCGGUGCUGAUUCCGGCCACGGUCGCAAUUGGCCUGGCCGUGGCCGGGUUCCUGACGUCGGGAGUCUUUGGGCUCACGGCGCUGUCGUCCUUCUCCUGGAUCCUGAACUACAUCCGGGAGACCCAGCCGGCGUCGGAGAAUCUGGCCGCUGCGGCGAAGCACCAUCUGGCGGAGGCGGCGGAGUACGUGGGGCAGAAGACCAAAGAAGUAGGGCAGAAAACCAAGGAAGUUGGGCAGGAUAUUC